CGCUCUCCUCGUUAUUGCAGACCUAUUACGGGAGGUCUGCAAUACCCAGCUUUCUCCCAGAGCAUUCUGCCCUAGCUGCCCGAGGGACUAGUGCAGCUGGCUGGGAGGUUUGCCUGCAUCAGCACGGUCGUCUACUCACAGGUAACGUGCAUCCUGAACCACCGAUGGCAGACGGUAUUUUUCCAAAGACAACUGCAACAAUAACUCCCAUUUCACGUGCUCUUCUGCGAUGUGACCUGUCAUGACUCCAUCAGCAAUGGAGAAUCCAUAGAUAUUUGUAUGUCACCCUCCCCUUGAAUCUGGGUGAGCCUUUCACUGCUUUGGCCAAGAGAGUGUGGUCAGAGUGACGGUAUGGGUCCCCACAGGUGAUUCAGCUUCUGCUUUGUUUGCUGGGAACACUUGCAUUUGGAUCCCUGAGGCUGCCAUGCUGGGAGGAAGCCAGACCCCACGCAGAGGACGCACGCAGGGGCUCGGGUCUGUGCUCAUCACGGCAUCUUAGCCCGGGUGCCAGGUGUGGGAGGGAGGCCACCCCAGAGGACUCCAGCCUCCAGCCUUUGCAGCAGCCUCAAGUGUGAAGCCUUCUUAGCUGAGAUCUCAGACAUCACGGAGCAGAGUCAACACAUCCAAAUUCCUGAUCCACAUAAUCUGUGACCAGAGUAAAAACGAUUGUUUUAAGCUGCUAUAUUUUCAGAUCGUUUAUUAUGAAGUUAACUGGAACGCUUUCUUUCAAGGAGAAAGUUCUAUUAUUUUAAACCUUUUCUGGAGUGAACAUAUGAAAAAAAUUGUUUUUUGAUGAACAUAAAAUAUGGGCCUUCUUCACAAUAAUUCACGGGAGUAACUUGAAAAAUAGACAUUUCAAAUUAUAUGUAUUUUUAUGAGCUGAUGGGCGAGGCCUGGAACUGGC
rnacentral:lncRNA from 1 species